AAUACCAGUAAUAAUAAUAAUCUUCAACUGUUUGCGGUCGCCAGUCGAUGACGUUGAACCGCAAAAGUGCACCCCCUAUUGCAGAUGCAAAUAGGCUGGCCGUUGUGUGGCGCGCUUGUUAAAAUGCAGUUCUACACAGUGCACUAGUUGUUGUUUUGUAAGGAGUUAUAACCAGUUCUGAGAGAGAAGAAUAGGAGUUCUGGCUUGUUGUAAUAUAAGAGAAUUCGUUGAAAGCUAUGCCUUCAAAGUAAUUGAAUUUUUUUAAAAAAUCGGUCCAAAGAACAAUAAUUCAUCAAAAAGGCUCACCUUUGACUACACAAAGUGAAAAGCAACAAGAAAGAAGCCGAACAUUCCUCAAGCUUGUUUACAAAGUUAGCUAAAUAUAGAGUUGUGCAAUUCAGGUUGCGCUAUUUUCGAGCGCGUUUAUAGUUACGACACUCACCUAGAAAACAAAACAACAUCUUUUUCAUCAGAAAUAUUUUUUCUUACUAGCCAUGAUUCAAAUCAGCGAAAAGAAAAAGGGACAGUUUUCGAACAAUUCACAUAUAACAUGACUGUCAUUCGUUUGCGGUAUGAAGCACUCCACAACUGUAAUAAAAAAGUGGAUAACCGUAGCGUGUUCACAACCGCGAAAUACUUCAUGUCGUCGGCUUUUAGAUUUUUGGCAAUGUAGGAAAUGUCGCUCACGUACAAAAUAAAAAGAAGUGGUCCUAAAUGAGAGCCAUGGAGGACACCUGAUGUAACUCGAAUAGGUCUCCCAAAAUCAUCCUGGAACUCUACAGACUCAACGAGAUAUUGUACGCUUUCUUGACCAAAUGUUGUUAUUGACCAAAUGUUGUUAUUGCUUCGACUACAUAAAAUGAACAGUAAACAAACUUUGACUACAAUAAAAAAAAAACAGAAGGAUUACCCAAACUUUCGAAACGCAUGCAUCUCGCAACUAUGCAAUUACGCUAAACAACAACACAUCAGCCGGCUGAUCCAGGAGUUCGUCGGAGUCGCCAACCCAGCUGAUGGCCCAAAUUCUUAACAAACAGAGCCGUCUAGCGAGAAUCACGAAUGCAUCAUAAUCCACCCAUGGAUGCACUCACCGUACACAGAUUCGCGAAGGGAUCAUUCGAAUUUUCAAAUACCCGGAAGACAGCGCGCUGUCCAAACAUGGAACGACUGCAAUAUUUCAUAUUCGAAAAUCCUCCCAGAUCUUCUCCGUCAAUAGGCCCGGGU